rnacentral:misc_RNA from 1 species
UUAAGUUCAGCGGGUAUCCCUACCUGAUCCGAGGUCAACCUUGAGAAAAGUUCAGAAGGUUCGUCCGGCGGGCGACGCCAGCCGCUCCAAAGCGAGGUGUAUUCUACUACGCUUGAGGGCUGGACAGCCACCGCCGAGGUCUUUGAGGCGCGUCCGCAGAGAGGACGGCGCCCAAUACCAAGCAGAGCUUGAGGGUUGUA